rnacentral:misc_RNA from 1 species
GUACUUUUCUUAUAAAGUUUACACAUACACAGACUACAGAUGGGUUUGAGAGUAGCCACCUCUUUUUUAGGGAGGCGGCGUGAGUGUGCACUCAAUUGUCAGCCGAGGCCGACGUGAUUCAAUGAUGAUCCUUCCGCAGGUUCACCUACGGAAA